rnacentral:rRNA from 1 species
GACAGAGGGUGCAACGUUGCUCGGAAUUACUGGGCGUAAAGGCGUGUAGGCGGGCUAGGUAAGAUCGGGCGUGAAAAUCCCCGUGGGCUCGAACCCAGGAACUGCACUCGAAACUACUUGCCUUGAGUGCCGGAGAGGAAAGAGCGGGAAUUCCUGGUGUAGAGGUGAAAUUCGAUAGAUAUCAGGAGGAACGACCGAAGCG